GAUGAACGCUGGCGGCGUGCCUAAUACAUGCAAGUCGAACGAAACUUCUUUAUCACCGAGUGCUUGCACUCACCGAUAAAGAGUUGAGUGGCGAACGGGUGAGUAACACGUGGGCAACCUGCCCAAAAGAGGGGGAUAACACUUGGAAACAGGUGCUAAUACCGCAUAACCAUAGUUACCGCAUGGUAACUAUGUAAAGGGUGGCUAUACUACCGCUUUUGGAUGGGCCCGCGGCGCAUUAGCUAGUUGGUAGGGUAAAGGCUUACCAAGGCAAUGAUGCGUAGCCGAAUUGAGAGGUUGAUCGGCCACAUUGGGACUGAGACACGGCCCAAACUCCUACGGGAGGCAGCAGUAGGGAAUCUUCCACAAUGGGCGAAAGCCUGAUGGAGCAACGCCGCGUGGGUGAAGAAGGUCUUCGGAUCGUAAAACCCUGUUGUUAGAGAAGAAAGUGCGUGAGAGUAACUGUUCACGUUUCGACGGUAUCUAACCGGAAAGCCACGGCUAACUACGUG
rnacentral:rRNA from 1 species